UGGGGGGGCACAAAAGGAUGCUGAGACGCACACAAGGGGCAGGCUCCCUUUGACUUCCUGAACUGGGGAGCGAACACAAUCACUCCCAGCUCCAAAAAAGAGCCAGAGAUUGCAGGAUACACACAAACCCCAUGAGCCACCAGGAGCAGGGCCCAGCCAGGCUGGCAUCCAGGCGGACACACUUGAGUGGAUCACAGAUCGCCAGGAGAUAGCGGCACCCAGGGAGCACUCAGAGACGGGCCAGCCCUCCCACAGCUCAGCGUCCCACCAGCCUGGCUCUGCCAAAAAUCAGAGCCCUUGAGAACGCCUGGAGAAGCCCUGAAACACGAGAUUAAGGAUUCAACAUCACCCCAUCAAUUCCUCUCCCUCAGCAGCUCCUGCGGCCACCCUCCUGCACAAGAACAAGGAAGGAGAGGACACAUCCCAGCCUGGAGGUGACCCACAUGGCACCCCAGACACACAACCGCUUUGCACUGUCCUGCUGCAGGACAUCCCUUUUCAUUAGGGACAGUUCAGCAUGCCUGCUCACCCCACUGGCUGCCCAAUUUGCAAUGCCUGCCCCAGCGCACCAAUGGGAGUCUACACCAGAAGAGCUGCACUAUGAUCUGAUCAGCCUGUUUGAUAUUGCAGUGCCUGGUUCAAUGCCCAUUGAAAUCAAAGGCCCCUUCAUCUCAUCAGGCACCAAAUCUCAGCCCCGCUCCCUCCAGCUGAGCACAACCAUCCCGUUGUCGCCAGGCGCCCCAGCAGCUUGGGCCACCACUACAUAAUUAGAAGGCGUAAUGCUGGGUUUAACCAACGCACCGACACGGCUUCUUCUUAACAGUUGUGAAUAAUUUCCCCUGGCUUUGGAAUUCCAUUGCAGAGAGAGUUCAAGAAGCUAUUCAAAGCUUCAGGAACCACUCGUAUCUGCGGAUCUCAAAGCGUUGCAGAGACAGCAAUGCACUGCAGUGCAGGUCUCCUUGGAGAGGUGGAGUGGGGCUUCACACCAAGUGGAAAUGGAAGUACAGGGAGAACACUUUGGGUCUAUCCCAAAAAGUCCCAGUGCCCAAUCGUCAUCAUGCUCUCACACAGUGGAUGCAAGCGAGAAAUAACUACCUUGAGGAGGAGAGCAGGAAUCCAACCUGCUUCAUCCAGGCUGCCAUCUGAGGGGCUAUUCACUUUUCUUUUGCUUGUUCAGGAGCAGAGCCACCCGAGUUAGUGGGCACAUCAGUGCUUGGCUCUGUGGGACCUAAGGCUGAAAGGCUAUGCAGGAAGGGAAGCACAAACCAGAGACUGCUCCAUGCCACACAGACAGCUCAGGAUCAUUGCUGGGAGCCUGAUGUAUCGUGGGGAGAAAGGGGGCGUGGGAUCCCAACCUCACUGUCCGCAUGGAGAUGUGAGAGGCAGCGGGAAAACAUUCACCAGGAUGGGCUCAUCGCCAGCUUUGGGGUCUGCCUGAUCCCAGGAACCCCAUAGGGUCAAUAGAAGUCACUUCCCAUCCCACUCUGCUGAGAGAAGGAAAAUCCCAUCAACAAAUAAAGAAAUGCAUAAAACAAAGCACCGAGGCUGGCAGAAGGGAGAAGAGCCCCACGCCAAGCACACGCAGCAUGUCUCAUCAGACAGGACUGUGGAGGAGCAGCAGGAACAGCAAACAGAGGACUCUGCAGCAACGGCACCGGGAGCUGCGGGGUGGAUGGUUUAUAGGCCAAAAAGUGGCUUUAUAAAACCGGAUCUUUAAAUAUUUGCUCCGACGUGGCUUCCAAGUCCCAUCUGCUGCAGCAGUUAAGCUCUCGCAGCCCUCGCACGUGGCGGUGCCUGUGUGCAGUGUGUCCCUGCUCCAAAGGCAACGCUGACAUCCCUGUUGAAACCUGAGGAGAAGAAGAAACAGGUUAUUCCUUUCCCACUUCUCAAAGGGGAGUGAUACAGCAAGAUAGCCAAAUGACAGAAUCUAUUCCUUUUGGUGACAGUGGACACGGCAAUAUCUGAACAAGCAGUGAGAAGUGGGGCUUCAGGAGCCCACAUUAGAGGGACAGAAGGACGUGCACACCAAAUAAGCUCAUGUCCUGCAUAGCUCUGAACACGAAAGGCCUCGAGACUCUGAAUCAGGCCCUCAGAGCUCCUUCCAAACCCACCCGUCUGUUCCUUUCAGCAGCUCCAGACCUGCAAAUCGUGCGUCAUCGUGCAAGGGGAGCACACAGUGCAACAGAAGAGCUUCUGCAUCAGCCAUUGCCGCUGACUCCUUAGCAAGGGCUUUUUAAUGGGUUUUUCUGCAGAACUCCCCCAGUGUUUUUGCAAAAGCAGCAGCCCCCAGCUCCACACAGCCCCACAUGCCCUGCUCCCUCCUGCAGGGGAUUCUAGAGGGUCCUGUAAAUGACUCUCUCUGCACAGCCCCCACCCCCAGCUCCUGGUGCCUGUUUGCCCCAUUCAGGGGCAGUCCCUCCCAGGAACAGCCCAGCACCAUGCAGGGAGCAAAGGAGUGCAAUUCAGGCACAAUUUCCAGCCCCUCACAUGCUCUGACCCUGCCCACGUCCCAGCUCUUUCACCAGCUCAAGUCACAAUGUUCCUUUACCUCUAGGAGAAGCAUCCAGCCAUAGUUAGCUGGGUAGCC
rnacentral:lncRNA from 1 species